rnacentral:rRNA from 1 species
GAUGAACGCUAGCGGCAGGCCUAAUACAUGCAAGUCGAACGGUCCGCUUCGGCGGAUAGUGGCGCACGGGUGCGUAACACGUAUGCAACCUACCUUACAUUGGGGGAUAGCCUUUCGAAAGGGAGAUUAAUACCGCAUAAGACAGUAGCUGGGCAUCCAGUAGCUGUUAAAGAGUUAUCGAUGUAAGCUGGGCAUGCGUCCAAUUAGUUAGUUGGUGAGGUAACGGCUCACCAAGACGAUGAUUGGUAGGGGAACUGAGAGGUCAAUCCCCCACACGGGCACUGGGAUACGGGCCAGACUCCUGCGGGAGGAAGCAGUAGGGAGUAUUGGGCAAUGGAGGGCAGGCUGACCCAGCCAUUCCGCCUGCAGGAAGAAGGCGUUCUGCGUUGUAACCUGCUUUGAUAUAGGAAGAAACUACCCUUGCGAGGGGCAUUGACGGUAUUAUAUGAAUAAGCACCGGCUAACUCCGUGCCAGCAGCCGCAGUAACAC